UAAGAACAUUACAUGAAAAGGGGAACAAGUCUUCAACAUGAUUCAUGGGAAUGCAAAAUAUAUUCCUAAGUUUUUACAUAGCUAAAAUCAUCUAUGAUCAUCAAAACCUAUAUAUAUCAGUUGUAACUAUCCAUAAUCAACUAUCCACACCAAAGUAACAAAAGGUGAAUCAGAAAGGUGUCUUGGUUACUAGCGGCCACAGCAAAA
rnacentral:misc_RNA from 1 species